rnacentral:lncRNA from 1 species
CUUGGAAUUUAUAUUGGUCCCUGAAAUUGAUGGUCCAUGGAAAAGUUUUAUGUUUUAUUCCAAUAAGAAGUUUUAUGUAAAACAUGGUAAAAGUAACUCGACUUUAAUCUCUAUAUUUCAGUUAGUUCCCCCUCUUAAGUCAAAGGUCCAUGCAAUAGUUUUAUGACGAGAUCCAAUGUCGCGUUUGAUGUAAAAACAACGUAUAAUAUAUAAUUCUAUUUGUUAUGCUUUCUUC